rnacentral:tRNA from 1 species
GGGCCCGUAGCCUAGCCUGGAUAGGGCGACAGCCUCCUAAGCUGUAGACCGCGGGUUCGAAUCCCGCCGGGUCCG